AUUGAACGCUAGCGGGAUGCCUUACACAUGCACGUCGAACGGAGUGGCGAACGGGUGAGUAAUGUAUCGGAACGUGCCCAGUAGCGGGGGAUAACUACGCGAAAGCGUAGCUAAUACCGCAUACUAUUGGAGCGGCCGAUAGCGGAUUAGCUAGUUGGUGGGGUAACGGCUCACCAAGGCGACGAACCGUAGCUGGUUUGGGAGGAUGACCAGCCACACUGGAACUGAGACACGGCCAAGACUCCUAAGUGAGGCAGCAGUGGGGAAUUUUGGACAAUGGGGGAAAGCCUGAUCCAGCCAUGCCGCGUGUACGAUGAAGUCCUUCGGGUUGUAAAGCACUUUUGGCAGGAAAGCGGUACCUGCAGAAUAAGCACCGGCUAACUACGUGCCAGCAGCCGCGGUAAUUC
rnacentral:rRNA from 1 species